rnacentral:rRNA from 1 species
ACGGGAGGCAGCAGUGGGGAAUAUUGGGCAAUGGGCGAAAGCCUGACCCAGCGACGCCGCGUGAGGGAAGAAGGUCUUCGGAUUGUAAACCUCUGUUGACAGGGAAGAAGAAAGUGACGGUACCUGUCGAGGAAGCCACGGCUAACUACGUGCCAGCAGCCGCGGUAAUACGUAGGGAGCGAGCGUUGUCCGGAAUUACUGGGUGUAAAGGGAGCGUAGGCGGGAUGGCAAGUCAGAUGUGAAAACUAUGGGCUCAACCCAUAGACUGCAUUUGAAACUGUUGUUCUUGAGUGAAGUAGAGGUAAGCGGAAUUCCUAGUGUAGCGGUGAAAUGCGUAGAUAUUAGGAGGAACAUCGGUGGCGAAGGCGGCUUACUGGGCUUUUACUGACGCUGAGGCUCGAAAGCGUGGGGAGCAAACAGGAUUAGAUACCCUGGUA